UACGGAGGGUGCAAGCGUUGUUCGGAAUCACUGGGCGUAAAGCGCGUGUAGGCGGCCUCCUCAGUCGGAUGUGAAAGCCCGGGGCUCACCCCCGGAAGUGCAUUGGAUACUGGGAGACUGGAGUACCGGAGAGGAGGGUGGAAUUCCUGGUGUAGCGGUGAAAUGAGUAGAUAUCAGGAGGAACACCGGUGGCGAAGGCGGCCCUCUGGACGGAUACUGACGCUGAGACGCGACAGCGUGGGGAGCAAACAGG
rnacentral:rRNA from 1 species